rnacentral:misc_RNA from 1 species
GGAAGGAUCAUUAACGAAUCGUGUUUUGCUUUUUUGGCAAACAUUAGUGCUCUCCAGGCAACUGGGGGUGCAAAAUAUAUGAUGUAGUGUUUUUGUGUAGUGUGAUUUUGUUGGAGUAUAGUGAUGUAAAUCAUGUAUAUUGUAUAUGCAUGAUGCUAUGUAUCAUUAUCAACACAUAAUAAUAUGACACUUUUAACAAUGGAUCUCUUGGCUCUUGCAUCGAUGAAGAACGCAGUAAUGUGCGAAAAGUAAUGCGAAUUGCAUACCUCUGCGAGUCAUCUAGUCUUUGAACGCAAAUGGCACUGCUACGACGAGUGGCAGUAUGUCUGUUUGAGAACCGCAAAACCCAUCACCACAUCAGUGGUGGACGUGUCCCAUAUACGAUGUAUGUGGGACUAAAGUUAUAGUGCUGUGGGCGCUCUGAGAAUAUGUGAUAAUCAUUCAUGUUCUUUGGGUGCUUGUGCAAUAAUAUAUACAUAGUAUAUAUUAUGUGCUCACGCUGCACAAACCAAUAUACUUUUUAUCACGGUCUCAAAUCAGACAAGAUUACCCGCUGAACUUAAGCAUAUCAGUAAGCGGAGGAAAAGAAACUAACAAGGAUUCCCGUAGUAACUGCGAGUGAAGUGGGAAUAGCUCAAAUUUAAAAUCUGGUCCACUUGUGGAUCCGAAUUGUAGUCUAUAGAGGUGCUUUCUUGGGGACGCGUGCGCACAAGUGUCCUGGAAUGGACCAUCACAGAGGGUGAGAAUCCCGUUUGGGCGCACGUUGUCUUCAUUUACGAGGCACUCUCGAAGAGUCGAGUUGUUUGGGAAUGCAGCUCAAAUUGGGUGGUAAACUUCAUCCAAGGCUAAAUAUUGGCAAGAGACCGAUAGCGAACAAGUACCGUGAGGGAAAGAUGAAAAGCACCUUGAAAAGGGAGUGAAAUAGCGCGUGAAAUUGUUAAAAGGGAAACGAUUGAGGCCAGCAUUGUGCGCAUGUUUUUGGGCUGUGAGUGUACGGUGUGGGAGCGAAAGCCUUGCAUGUGCAUAGCACUCUGACAACGGCGCGCGAGUCAGGGCCGCUUUGACCUGCCUUAUAAUACUCUGGAAAGGUAGUCAUCACUUGUGAUGACCUUAUAGUCCAGAGGGAUGUGGUGAGUUGGAGCUGGUAGUGUGGCAUGUUUCUGAUUGUGCGUUGUGCUGGUGUAGACUGCGUGCAGACUGCGCCAGCCCAAUGCAUAAUAACAUUUACUACACACACGAUCCUGACGGAAUGGUAUCAACCGACCCGUCUUGAAACACGGACCAAGGAGUCUAACAUGUAUGCGAGUGUUUGGGUGGCAAACCCGAGCGCGCAAUGAAAGUAACAGCGUGGGAGUACGUGUAGUAUGCACCACGGGCCGGUCUUGAUAUCUCUUGAUGGACCCGAGCCGGAGCAUAAAUGUUGGGACCCGAAAGAUGGUGAACUAUGCCUGGAUAGGAUGAAGCCAGAGGAAACUCUGGUGGAGGUCCGCCGCCGUUCUGACGUGCAAAUCGAUGGUCAAAUUUGGGCAUAGGGGCGAAAGACUAAUCGAACCAUCUAGUAGCUGGUUCCCUC